rnacentral:lncRNA from 1 species
AUGGAUGCAGUAGAGACCCCACUGACCCCAUAGAGACCCUAUAGGAACCCAGUUGAUUCCUUAGGACCCUAUCAAUCUCAUAGGGACCCCACUGACCCCAUUGGAACCCCAUGGAUGCAGUAGAGACCCCACUGACCCCCAGAGACCCCAUAGGAACCCCAUUGAUUCCUUAGGACCCUAGUGACCCCAUUGGAACCCCAUGGAUGCAGUAGAGACCCCACUGACCCCAUAGAGACCCCAUAGGAACCCCAUUGACCCGUUAGGACCCUAUUGACCCCAUUGACCCCAUAGGAACCCCACUGACCCCUAGAGACCGCAUAGGAGCCCCAUUGACCCAUUAGGACCCUAUUGACCCCGUAGGAACCCCACUGACCCCGUAGGGACUGGAUUGACCUCAUAAAGAUUACAUUGCUUUAUCGGGACCAUAUUGACUUCAUGGAGACGCCACUGACCCCAUAGGAACCCUGUUGACCCACUGGGACCCCACUGACCCCAUAGGGACCCUAUUGACCCAUUGGGAUCCCAUAGGGACCCCUUGGACCCAUUGGGACCCUGUUGACCCUAUAGGGGCUCCACUGACCCCAUUGGAACCCCAUGGACGCCAUAGAGACCCCACUGACCCCAUAGGGACCGCACUGAUCCAUUGGGAUCCCAUUGACCCAUUGGGACCCUUCUGACCCCAUAGGGAGCUCAUUGACCCCAUAGAGACCCCACUGAUCCUAUAGAGGUCCCAUUGGGACUCCAUUGACCCAUAGAGAACCCAUUGACCCAUAUGGACCCUGUUGAUUCCAUAGAGACGCCACUGACCCAUAGGAACCCCAUUGACCCCAUAGAGAUCCUACUGAUCCCAGUAGGACCCCAUUGACCCGUUGGGACUGCACUGACCCCAUAGGGAACUCAUUCACCGUAUAGAGACCCCACUGACCCCAUUGGGACUGCAUUGGCCCAUAGAGAACCCAUUAACGCGUUGGGAUCCUACUGAUCUGUAUAGGAUCUACGUUGACUCUGUAUGGCCUGCGCUGACCCCAUAGGGACCCCAGUGACCCCAUAGGGACCCCAGUGACCCCAUAGAAAUCUUGUUGAUCCCAUAGAGCUCCCAAUGUUCUCGUAGAGGCUUCAUCGUCUAUAUAGGGACCCCAUUGACUCCAUAGGAACCCCAUUGACCCAUUGGGACCCCACUGACCCCAUAGAGAUCUUAUUGAUCCCACAGAGCCCCCAGUGCCUCCAUACAGGCUUCAUUGUCCUUACAGGAACCCCAUUGACCCUAUAGGGACUCGUUUCAGACCCCAUUGACGCCAUAGAGACGCCAUUGAACCCUAGAGACCCUACUGACCCCAUAGAGAUCUUGUUGAUCCUAUAGAGCUCCCAAUGUUCUCAUAGAGGCUCUGUUGUCCAUAUAGGGACCCUGUUGACCCCAUAGGGAUGCUUUUGAGACCUUCAUGUCCCUGUAGAGACCCCACUGACCCCAUAGGAACCCCAUUGACCCACUGAGACUCCACUGACCCCACAGAGAUGUCAUUGAUCCCACAGAGCCCCCAGUGCCGCCAUAGAGGCUUCGUUGUCCCUACAGGGACCCUAUUGACCCUAUAGGGACUUGUUUGAGACCCCAUUGACCCCAUAGGGACCCCAUUGAACCCUAGAGACCCCAAUGACCCCAUAGAGAUCUUGUUGAUCCUA